rnacentral:misc_RNA from 1 species
AAGAGUAAGGGUGCUCAGCGCCCGACCUCCAACCCUUUGUUGUUAAAACUACCUUGUUGCUUUGGCGGGACCGCUCGGUCUCGAGCCGCUGGGGAUUCGUCCCAGGCGAGCGCCCGCCAGAGUUAAACCAAACUCUUGUUAUUUAACCGGUCGUCUGAGUAAAAAUUUUGAAUAAAUCA